AAUCCUUCCGUCCCAG
rnacentral:tRNA from 4 species